UUAAAUUGAAGAGUUUGAUCAUGGCUCAGAUUGAACGCUGGCGGCAGGCUUAACACAUGCAAGUCGAACGGUAACAUGAGUGCUUGCACUUGAUGACGAGUGGCGGACGGGUGAGUAAAGUAUGGGGAUCUGCCGAAUGGUGGGGGACAACAGUUGGAAACGACUGCUAAUACCGCAUAAAGUUGAGAGACCAAAGCAUGGGACCUUCGGGCCAUGCGCCAUUUGAUGAACCCAUAUGGGAUUAGCUAGUAGGUGGGGUAAAGGCUCACCUA
rnacentral:rRNA from 1 species